CCUACGGGAGGCAGCAGUAAGGAAUAUUGGUCAAUGGGCGCAAGCCUGAACCAGCCAUGCCGCGUGCAGGAAGACGGCCCUACGGGUUGUAAACUGCUUUUGUACCGGAAUAAACCUUUUCACGUGUGAGAAGCUGAAUGUACGGUAAGAAUAAGGAUCGGCUAACUCCGUGCCAGCAGCCGCGGUAAUACGGAGGAUCCAAGCGUUAUCCGGAUUUAUUGGGUUUAAAGGGUGCGUAGGCGGUUCUUUAAGUCAGGGGUGAAAGACGGUAGCUUAACUAUCGCAGUGCCUUUGAUACUGAAGAACUUGAAUACACUUGAGGUAGGCGGAAUGUGACAAGUAGCGGUGAAAUGCAUAGAUAUGUCACAGAACACCAAUUGCGAAGGCAGCUUACUAAAGUGUCAUUGACGCUGAGGCACGAAAGCGUGGGGAUCAAACAGGAUUAGAUACCCUGGUAGUCCACGCCCUAAACGAUGAAUACUCGAUGUUGGCGAUAUACGGUCAGCGUCUAAGCGAAAGCGUUAAGUAUUCCACCUGGGGAGUACGCCGCAAGGGUGAAACUUCAAAGGAAUUGACGGCUUGGNGAGNGCGAGACGACGACGAGGAGAGG
rnacentral:rRNA from 1 species